AGUGAACGCUGGCGGUAGGCCUAACACAUGCAAGUCGAACGGCAGCACAGGAGAGCUUGCUCUCUGGGUGGCGAGUGGCGGACGGGUGAGGAAUACAUCGGAAUCUACUUUUUCGUGGGGGAUAACGUAGGGAAACUUACGCUAAUACCGCAUACGACCUACGGGUGAAAGCAGGGGAUCUUCGGACCUUGCGCAAUUGAAUGAGCCGGUGUCGGAUUAGCUAGUUGGCGGGGUAAAGGCCCACCAAGGCGACGAUCCGUAGCUGGUCUGAGAGGAUGAUCAGCCACACGGGAGCGGAGAGACGGUCCAGAGUCCGACCGGAGGCUGCAGUGGGGAAUAUUGGACAAUGGGCGCAAGCCUGAUCCAGCCAUACCGCGUGGGUGAAGAAGGCCUUCGGGUUGUAAAGCCCUUUUGUUGGGAAAGAAAUCCAGCUGGUUAAUACCCGGUUGGGAUGACGGUACCCAAAGAAUAAGCACCGGCUAACUUCGUGCCAGCCGCCGCGGUAA
rnacentral:rRNA from 1 species